GGACUACCAUGGCAGUCACGGGUAACGGAGAAUAGGUUCGAUCCGGAGAAGGAGCCUGAGAAAACGGCUACUACAUCUAAGGAAGGCAGCAGGCGCGUAAAAUUACCCAAUCCUAAAUCAGGGAGGUAGUGACAAGAUAUAACAACGCGAUUAAAUGUCGCGAUUGUAGUGAGGGUAUUCUAAAAAUAGCUUCGAGUACGAUUGGAGGGCAAGUCUGGUGCCAGCAGCCGCGGUAAUUCCAGCUCCAAUAGCGUAUAUUAAAGUUGCUGCAGUUAAAAAGCUCGUAGUUGAACUUCAUGAGCAGUAGGUAGCUUACUACCUGCUCUCUACCAGUCUUUCGACUGUUACUGUGAGAAAAUUAGAGUGUUUCAAGCAGGCUAUUGCAGGAAUACAUUAGCAUGGAAUAACGAAUGUACCUACAAUUUGGUUAAUUGUAGAUUACUAUUAAUAGGGAC
rnacentral:rRNA from 1 species